CACGCAGAUUAAGAAUAUUUAC
rnacentral:snRNA from 1 species